GAUGAACGCUAGCUACAGGCUUAACACAUGCAAGUCGCGGGGCAGCAUGGGGGUUGCUUGCAACCCCCGAUGGCGACCGGCGAACGGGUGAGUAACGCGUAUCCAACCUGCCCUUCACCACGGGAUAACCCGGCGAAAGUCGGACUAAUACCGUAUGUUGUCCAUUGACGGCAUCCGAUUUGGACGAAAGGCUUGGCGGUGAGGGAUGGGGAUGCGUCCGAUUAGCCAGACGGCGGGGUAACGGCCCACCGUGGCUACGAUCGGUAGGGGUUCUGAGAGGAAGGUCCCCCACACUGGAACUGAGACACGGUCCAGACUCCUACGGGAGGCAGCAGUGAGGAAUAUGGGUCAAUGGGCGUAAGCCUGAACCAGCCAAGUAGCGUGCAGGAUGACGGCCCUAUGGGUUGUAAACUGCUUUUAUGCGGGGUGGCCCACGUGUGGGCUUUUGCAGGUACCGCAUGAAUAAGGACCGGCUAAUUCCGUGCCAGCAGCCGCGGUAAUACGGAAGGUCCGGGCGUUAUCCGGAUUUAUUGGGUUUAAAGGGAGCGUAGGCCGCGCCUUAAGCGUGUUGUGAAAUCCGGGUGCUCAACAUCCGGCUUGCAGCGCGAACUGGGGCGCUUGAGUGCGCUGAAAGUAGGCGGAAUUCGUGGUGUAGCGGUGAAAUGCUUAGAUAUCACGAGGAACUCCGAUUGCGAAGGCAGCCUACUGUAGCGCUACUGACGCUGAUGCUCGAAAGCGUGGGUAUCGAACAGGAUUAGAUACCCUGGUAGUCCACGCGGUAAACGAUGGAUGCUCGUUGUCGGCCCUUUGGGUCGGUGACCAAGCGAAAGCGUUAAGCAUCCCACCUGGGGAGUACGCCGGCAACGGUGAAACUCAAAGGAAUUGACGGGGGCCCGCACAAGCGGAGGAACAUGUGGUUUAAUUCGAUGAUACGCGAGGAACCUUACCCGGGCUUGAACUGCGGCGGAACG
rnacentral:rRNA from 1 species